rnacentral:tRNA from 1 species
AGCAUGGUGUAGUGGUUUGAGCAUUGGACUACAACUCUGGAGUCCUGGGUUUGAAUCCCUGCAUGCUC